UGACAAACACCAUAACCGUGAGCAUCUGUCCGGGGCUCCGGUGACUCGCUGGCUGGCUAACAAACGGCUUCACCAGCCCCGCAGCAUCACCGCCGUGAGCGCGAGCCCGACCCCCUGCCGCUCCGACUCAUGGGUAUCCUGGUAACCCACCGACCUGCUGAUGUCACUGCUCUCCAUAAUGAAGUGUGUGAGCGAGUGAGUGAGUGCGUCUGCCUUUGUCAAUAACCAGGCAGGGAAAUUCACAGGCGAUAAGAGCGACAAUGAAGGACACGUCUACCAUGAUGUGAUUUAAGGUACAAAGGAUCAUAUUUCAGCAUCAGGUGCACCUGAGAGGCGUGUCGGAGUGUUUUAAUGAUGAUGAGUCUGAUCUCUGGAGGCCUGAACCAGCACGACGACGCUCCUGCUGAGCUCAGCUUGAUUGAUCUCAACCUCCAUCUGACACAGAGAUCCAAACUCACAACCUCCAGCAGCCCAACGUGACGACGAGUCAGUCUCACAUUUACAGUUUUAAAUACUUUUACUGGAACUUCACCCGAGUGUCUUUCAUUUACUACUGAUUUAUACUCGACCAUAAUUCAGGGGUGAAUGUUGUUCUGUUUAACACUACUGCAUUUAUGUGACAACUGAAGUUACUUUUAGGUUUAAAAAAAUAUACAUGUAUAAUGUGACAACAAUAAUAACACUACUAACAACGUUUUGAAAGGAAAAAUAAAAUAUUAGAAACAAUUUCUUAUUCAUGACUGAUCAGAAUAUCACCUCACUGACCUCCUCAUGCAAAACUCUAUAUAUUUGGGCGUCUCAUAAGCUCCUGGUCACUAUUACAGAAGCUACGGUAUUGUUUUUGAGUUUUGAAUCUAAUAAUAAGGAAUUGAUAUGAUAAAACUGCUGUUUCUGUUGGGUGAAUUUCAUAUUCAUGAAGUCAGAUUUCUUCAUAUUAUUCCAAAUGAAUCUUUGUUUUCUGUUGAACUCAAGAUUUUUUAUGAUUCCAUCUGUAAAGUAUCUAAAAACCAAAAAGACAUCCAGCCUGUUGAAAAAUAUUGUGAACACUACUGUACUGCCAGG